UACGAAGGGUGCAAGCGUUAAUCGGAAUUACUGGGCGUAAAGGGUGCGUAGGCGGUUCGUUAAGUCUGUCGUGAAAUCCCCGGGCUCAACCUGGGAAUGGCGAUGGAUACUGGCGAGCUAGAGUGUGUCAGAGGAUGGUGGAAUUCCCGGUGUAGCGGUGAAAUGCGUAGAGAUCGGGAGGAACAUCAGUGGCGAAAGCGGCUUCCUGGACCAGUACCGACGUUCAGGCACGAAAGCGUGGGGAGCAAACAGG
rnacentral:rRNA from 1 species